ACUCAAAGGAAUAGACGGGGACCCGCACAAGCAGUGGAGCGCCUGGUUUAAUUCGAUGAUCAACGAAGAACCUCACCUGGGCUUAAACAGUAGCUGUAUUACGUAAGAAAAGACGUAAGCUUCGAGAUCGCUACAGAGGUGCUGCAUGGCUGUCGUCAGCUCGUGUCGUGAGAUGUAGGGUUAAGUCCCACAACGAGCGCAACCCCUAUCUGGUGUUAAAAUUUCUCCAGAGACUGCCCCGCCACAACGGGGAGGAAGGAGGGGACGACGUCCAGUCAUCAUAUCCCUUAUGUCCAGGGCUACACAGACGCUACAAUGGCCAUUACAAUGGGUUGCCAAACCGCGAGGUGGAGCCAAUCCCAUCAAAAAUGGUCUCAGUUCGGAUUGCAGGCUGCAACUCGCCUGCAUGAAGCCGGAAUUGCUAGUAAUCGCGUAUCAGCACGGCGCGGUGAAUACGUUCUCGGGUCUUGUACACACCGCCCGU
rnacentral:rRNA from 1 species